ACGCUCGACACCUACGGGAGCAGCAGUCGGGAAUAUUGCGCAAUGGAGGAAACUCUGACGCAGUGACGCCGCGUAUAGGAAGAAGGUUUUCGGAUUGUAAACUAUUGUCGUUAGGGAAGAAAAAGGACAGUACCUAAGGAGGAAGCUCCGGCUAACUACGUGCCAGCAGCCCCGGUAAUCUGAGCGGGCUGGCAAGGC
rnacentral:rRNA from 1 species